CCGUACUAUCCGGAUAUCCUCAAUACUAGAGGUAUCAUCAUCACUCCUCAGCACUACACUAGCCAAAUAGGCUAUGCAACCCUUGCUGAUUAACUGCCUAGCUCGAGACGAGCUGAUCGUCAUCGCAAACAGCGAACUCUAGCAUCCUCUAAACACAACCUCCGUCUGCCCCUAUUCUCUAAAUAUAACUGUUUGAUUCUUACAAUCGAUAGU
rnacentral:lncRNA from 1 species